CGAGAAAAUACAGUUCUCGUUUGUUUAAAGUAUUUGAACGCGGUUAGUUUUUGGC
ensembl:ncRNA F46H6.7 ncRNA